rnacentral:rRNA from 1 species
CUCUUCCCAUUCCGAACAGAGAAGUUAAGCCCGCCAGAGCCGAUGGUACUGCGGUAAAACGUGGGAGAGUAGGUCGGUGCCAACU